GUUCUUCUUUACCCAUUUACCACUUUAUCUCUAGGGUUUUAAAAGAAGUGUUUGGAUCUGGAUGAACACGAUCAGAAAAAAUAGUGUCUGAUUUGAAAUUAUUUGAAACAGGUUUGCAACAUAUCAUGAAACCAUGUUGAUUUUGGUAAGGUAAAGGUGGUUAAUCCACAGAUCUUCUGAAAAAACACGUCAGGGCAAAAACGUCGACAUCACCAAAAAUUCACCAGAUCACCAAACUAGGAAAACAGAAUCAACACCACUAAAUCAUACCAAUGAAAACAAGACAACCAGUAACCGAGAAGCAGCCAACACACAUGAAGGGGCGAAAAUGUCAAUCGUCCAAAAAAAUCAAGAUACUCUAAAAUGCCAUCACAGAAAGCACCAAACCUACGAGAACUGUGAUACUGUCAAUCAGUUUUUAAAUCUUUGUUUUUUGUUUUUUGAUCAAAAGAACGAACUAUUGACUACAAUGUUUGCUUUGAUUUGAAGAUGGAUCAAAUGAACGAA